rnacentral:rRNA from 1 species
GAUGAACGCUAGCGGGAGGCCUAACACAUGCAAGCCGAGCGGUAUUGUUUCUUCGGAAAUGAGAGAGCGGUGUACGGGUGCGUAACACGUGUGCAACCUGCCUUUAUCUGGGGGAUAGCCUUUCGAAAGGAAGAUUAAUACUCCAUAAUAUAUUGAACGGCAUCGUUUAAUAUUGAAAGCUCCGGCGGAUAGAGAUGGGCACGCGCAAGAUUAGCUAGUUGGUGAGGUAACGGCUCACCAAGGCGAUGAUCUUUAGGGGGCCUGAGAGGGUGAUCCCCCACACUGGUACUGAGACACGGACCAGACUCCUACGGGAGGCAGCAGUGAGGAAUAUUGGUCAAUGGGUGCAAGCCUGAACCAGCCAUCCCGCGUGAAGGACGACUGCCCUAUGGGUUGUAAACUUCUUUUGUAUAGGGAUAAACCUACCCUCGAGAGGGUAGCUGAAGGUACUAUACGAAUAAGCACCGGCUAACUCCGUG